UAGGAUUAUUAUUAUUUUAUAUUUUAUUUACAUGUAAAUUGAAACAGUAAAUAUUGUGCUGUGUCAUAAUUUCAAACUCAUUCUGUUGCAGUCUUUUCCAGUUGAUAAAAUUGCAAUUCAAAAACUUUUAGAUUUGCACUGUAUGGAUGGCACAGGAAGAAGAGAACAAGAGUACAAGAACAUGAAACAUCUUAUUAUGAAUGUAUAUGUAUGUGAUCCUCAAAAAAUUAUUUUACAAAACAAGAUAGAGAAAGAGCUUUAAAAUCCCAAGGAUCCUGCAAAAUGUUUAUUUGGUGUACUAGUCGAAUAAUAGUAUCUAAAAAUAUUGAAACUAUUUUAAAACACAUUACGGGCAUGAGGAUGAUAUAGAGCACUUACAUAAACACCAAAAUCAGAUAAAUAUCUCUUCAACGUUUAUUUUGAGACUUUCUUCAAAAAUUAAACUUCAGACUGUUCAGGAUAGCAUAAUAGCAUAGGAGGCGAAUUAAAAAGAAUUGAUUUACUUACAAGAAAAGAUAUCACAAACAUUAAACUCUCUUAUGGCAUUGAUUUGAAAGAUGGGUAUAUGUACAAUGAUGAUGCAACCAGUGUUUAUUUUUGUGUUGAAUGCUUACAGACUUAUGUCCAAUAGUAUUUUACAAACAACAGGGCAUACUAAUGGAUAUUCAUUCUGAAUUUAACAUUUAUGUCUUAUUUUCCUUAAUACUGUGCCAAAAGGAAAUGUUAAUUAAGUUUGGUAAAUCCUUUAUCGCAAUCGAUGGAACUCAUGGGCUCAAUUCCUAUGACUUUGAACUUAUGACAGUAUUAGUAAAAGAUGAAUUUGGGAAUGGAUUUUGUACUGCUUUCUUAUUUUCAAAUAGAAAAGAUACCUACUUUAA